AUUGGAAGGGGUGUAUUUAUUAGAUAAAAAUCAACUUUGUUGGUGAAUCAUAAUAACUUCUCGGACCGCAUGGCCUCGUGCUGGCGGUGCUUCAUUCAAAUAUCUGCCCUAUCAACUGUCGAUGGUAGGAUAGAGGCCUACCAUGGUUGCAACGGGUAACGGGGAAUAAGGGUUCGAUUCCGGAGAGGGAGCCUGAGAAACGGCUACCACAUCCAAGGAAGGCAGCAGGCGCGCAAAUUACCCAAUCCCAACACGGGGAGGUAGUGACAAUAUGUAACAAUAUACGGCCUUAUACGUCGUAUAAUUGGAAUGAGUACAAUUUAAAUCCCUUAACGAGGAACAAUUGGAGGGCAAGUCUGGUGCCAGCAGCCAAU
rnacentral:rRNA from 1 species